rnacentral:rRNA from 1 species
UGAACGCUGGCGGUAUGCUUAACACAUGCAAGUCGAACGGAAACGAUACUAGCUUGCUAGUAGGCGUCGAGUGGCGGACGGGUGAGUAACGCGUAGGAAUCUGCCUGAUAGUGGGGGAUAGCCCGAAGAAAUUCGGAUUAAUACCGCAUAAUCUAUUCGUAGUAAAGUGGGGGACUUUCGAGCCUCACGCUAUCAGAUGAGCCUGCGUAAGAUUAGCUUGUUGGUAGGGUAAAAGCCUACCAAGGCGACGAUCUUUAGCUGGUCUGAGAGGAUGAUCAGCCACAUCGGGACUGAGACACGGCCCGAACUCCUACGGGAGGCAGCAGUGGGGAAUAUUGGACAAUGGGGGCAACCCUGAUCCAGCAAUACCGCGUGUGUGAAGAAGGCCUGAGGGUUGUAAAGCACUUUCAAUUGUGAAGAAAAGUUAGCGGUUAAUAACCGUUAGCCUUGACGUUAACUUUAGAAGAAGCACCGGCUAACUCCGUGCCAGCAGCCGCGGUAAUACGGAGGGUGCAAGCGUUAAUCGGAAUUACUGGGCGUAAAGCGUGCGUAGGCGGUUUAUUAAGUCAGAUGUGAAAGCCCCGGGCUUAACCUGGGAACUGCAUUUGAAGCUGGUCAACUAGAGUAUGGUAGAGGAAAGUGGAAUUUCUGGUGUAGCGGUGAAAUGCGUAGAUAUCAGAAGGAACAUCAAUGGCGAAGGCAGCUUUCUGGACCAAUACUGACGCUGAGGUACGAAAGCGUGGGUAGCAAACAGGAUUAGAUACCCUGGUAGUCCACGCCGUAAACGAUGAUAACUAGCCGUUGGGGGGAUUUACCCUUUAGUGGCGAAGCUAACGCGUUAAGUUAUCCGCCUGGGGAGUACGGCCGCAAGGUUAAAACUCAAAGGAAUUGACGGGGACCCGCACAAGCGGUGGAGCAUGUGGUUUAAUUCGAUGCAACGCGAAGAACCUUACCUGGUCUUGACAUCCUGCGAACUUUCUAGAAAUAGAUUGGUGCCUUCGGGAACGCAGUGACAGGUGCUGCAUGGCUGUCGUCAGCUCGUGUCGUGAGAUGUUGGGUUAAGUCCCGUAACGAGCGCAACCCCUAUCCUUAUUUGCCAGCACAUCAUGGUGGGAACUAUAAGGAGACUGCCGGUGAUAAACCGGAGGAAGGCGGGGACGACGUCAAGUCAUCAUGGCCCUUACGACCAGGGCUACACACGUGCUACAAUGGGAAGGACAAAGAGCCGCGAAGCCGCGAGGUGUAGCUAAUCUCAUAAACCUUUUCGUAGUCCGGAUUGGAGUCUGCAACUCGACUCCAUGAAGUCGGAAUCGCUAGUAAUCGUAGAUCAGAAUGCUACGGUGAAUACGUUCCCGGGUCUUGUACACACCGCCC